rnacentral:rRNA from 1 species
AACGGCGAGUGAAGCGGCAACAGCUCAAAUUUGAAAUCUGGCCCCUCGGGCCCGAGUUGUAAUUUGUAGAGGAUGCUUUUGGCAAGGUGCCGCCCGAGUUCCCUGGAACGGGACGCCGCAGAGGGUGAGAGCCCCGUCUGGCUGGCCACCGAGCCUCUGUAAAGCUCCUUCGACGAGUCGAGUAGUUUGGGAAUGCUGCUCAAAAUGGGAGGUAUAUGUCUUCUAAAGCUAAAUAUUGGCCAGAGACCGAUAGCGCACAAGUAGAGUGAUCGAAAGAUGAAAAGCACUUUGAAAAGAGGGUUAAACAGUACGUGAAAUUGUUGAAAGGGAAGCGCUCAUGACCAGACUUGGGCUUGGCGAAUCAUCCGGCGUUCUCGCCGGUGCACUUCGCCUCGCUCAGGCCAGCAUCAGUUCGCGCCGGGGGACAAAAGCUUCGGGAAUGUGGCUCCUCCGGGAGUGUUAUAGCCCGUUGCAUAAUACCCUGGUGCGGACUGAGGUUCGCGCAUCUGCAAGGAUGCUGGCGUAAUGGUCAUCAGCGACCCGUCUUGAAACACGGACCAAGGAGUCGUCUUCGUAUGCGAGUGUUCGGGUGUCAAACCCCUACGCGUAAUGAAAGUGAACGCAGGUGAGAGCUUCGGCGCAUCAUCGACCGAUCCUGAUGUUCUCGGAUGGAUUUGAGUAAGAGCAUACGGGGCCGGACCCGAAAGAAGGUGAACUAUGCCUGUAUAGGGUGAAGCCAGAGGAAACUCUGGUGGAGGCUCGCAGCGGUUCUGACGUGCAAAUCGAUCGUCAAAUAUGGGCAUGGGGGCGAAAGACUAAUCGAACCUUCUAGU